rnacentral:rRNA from 1 species
UACGUAGGGUGCGAGCGUUAAUCGGAAUUACUGGGCGUAAAGGGCGCGUAGGCGGCCAUCUAAGUCAGACGUGAAAUCCCCCGGCUUAACCUGGGAACUGCGUCUGAUACUGGAAGGCUCGAGUAUGGGAGAGGGAUGUAGAAUUCCAGGUGUAGCGGUGAAAUGCGUAGAUAUCUGGAGGAAUACCGGUGGCGAAGGCGGCAUCCUGGACCAUUACUGACGCUGAGGCGCGAAAGUGUGGGGAGCGAACAGG